UGCAGCUGAGCCAACAUGAAGACAGCUCUGGUAAUUGUCCUUCUGGCGCUCUCGACAUCUGCCUUCCCGUUGAUGCACCGAAAAGCCUGGCUGCGCUAAACGCGCACAACCUUCCAGCGCUCAAGAAAAGCUACGAAGUCAUUGAAAAACUCCUGGACAACCAGUCUGCAAUGACCACCGAGGAAGAGGAAUCAGUCGUGGAAUCUUUGAAGGCUCUCACCACCCUGCAGGCCGACCUUGAUCCGGAAAGUGAAGAGUAUUUCCUGGCUGGUCUCUUUCAGAAGCUUGUUGUCUGGGCAGUUCAACAGGGUGUAUCUAAGGCAGUCUCCCGUGGCGUGCAGGCUGCCAUUAACAAGGGAUAAAAAAGAAGUAAAUCUGUCGACCAUGGUGACGUAAAUAAAAUACAUGCACAU